GCCUGGCUAACUCUCAGAAUCAUGAAAAUAAAAUAAAUAACUGAAACACUAAGGUGUUUGAUGAGCUCCAAGGGACUAUCUAAGCUCAAAUAUUUGCACCUAUGAAAAGUAUGUGUAGCAGCCUUCAGAAUCCAGGCUCUUGCAACUCAGAACACCUUUUAUCUCAAGACAGUUGUUUCUGCUAUCAUUCCAAAGA